AUAAAUAUGGGAUCGCAUUUUCUUGCAAAACUAUAUUCACCACUGAGCAAUGCAAGAACGUCAAAAAAAAUGUUUCCGGAGAAACGAUAAAGAUCAUUCGUGCAGGUUCGUUGUUAAGAAUAAGUGCCUUGGAUCGAGACAGGAGUUGGUUCCGCAAAACGCAUGCUUUGCACCCGGAAGAAACCCAGUGGACCUUGUAAACACCUGUAUAGCUCGCCAGCAUAACCGCAUGAUAUCAGCGUACGUUCACGACACUGCAAAAUUAAAAGCGCCUGCACAUCGACAACUACAACACAAGGCCUUCACCAGAAGGCCUUAUGUUGGAAUCUCAAUCCACCGCCACCGAUUGUAGGACUCGCAACAGCGAAACGUGCCACAAGAGCGCAUGCACCCGGGAAUCGAAGGUGUUGAUCAUCCCUUACGUGCAUCGUUACGAUCGUCAUAAGCGUGAACGGAGGAAAUCUACAUUGCAUGAUAGUGGGAAGAAACAUAAGUGGCUUGCUGGAGGUGAAAUUGCAUGAUACAAUGGUUCAGUGUCGAAAGUGUGGCAACACGGUGAAGAGCGCGAUCACGCUAGUAUUCGACGCAGCAUAAGAAGAGAAUCGGUGCUUGCAUCUGCAUGAAGAGUGGUUCGGUCCCACACAAGGAAAGCGUCAAUUACUACAUGCAUGCCAGUAUUCGACGCAGCAUAAGAAGAGAAUAGGAGUUUCGGCUAUGUGCAUGAAGAGGAGCUCGACCCUGCAUGAGAAGAGAGCAACAAACCACGG